rnacentral:lncRNA from 1 species
UUUGAGGUGCUACAGCUGCCCCUAUUCAAUCAACUGGGAACCCGAAUGGAUGAGAGCAACGGCUGUCAGACUUUCAGGGUAAACAGGGAUUGAAUACCGAGUACCGUAGAAAUUUGCACACUGCUGGGAAUUAUUUUUCUUGUUUUUGUUGUUUUUUUUUUUCAGAGGUACAAGCACAUCCAGACAUCGACACACGAUGAAUGGGAUCAGAAAU